UGUGUUUUAAUCAUUACCUACCACUGAUGUUGGUCUGAUAGUCUUGUAUUUAAGAAGAUGUCCUUACACUCUUUCUCAAACAUUUGCUGCACACCAACCUUUUGGACCUCCCCCCUAUGUAGUGGUGUUUAUGGCAAGCUGUUUUAUUUUCUCUAUCACCACCUUCCUGAGAUGCAGGCCACCCAGACCAGCCUUAACCAUCUAAGGAGCCCUAAUCAGAGUUGCUUCUCCUUUUUUCACUGUUAGAAGGUUCCCUUCUUACCCUAAUGAACCCAGCCUCCAUAGAGGGGUUGGCGGUUGGUGGAUGUGUUAGCAGCUGCAGUGGGGACAUGCGUGACCAGUGGCCCAGUGCGGAGCAUGGUGACAG